GCUAUUGGUGUUCGACUAAGCCAUGCAAGUCAUAUGUUCCUCGUGAACAUGGCAUACUGCUCAGUAACACGUGGAUAACCUGCCCUUGGGUCUGGGAUAACCCCGGGAAACUGGGGAUAAUACCGGAUAACGCAUAUGUGCUGGAAUGCUUUAUGCGUAAAACGGAUUCGUCCGCCCAAGGAUGGGUCUGCGGCCUAUCAGGUAGUAGUGGGUGUAAUGUACCUACUAGCCAACAACGGGUACGGGUUGUGAGAGCAAGAGCCCGGAGAUGGAUUCUGAGACAUGAAUCCAGGCCCUACGGGGCGCAGCAGGCGCGAAAACUUUACAAUGCGGGAAACCGUGAUAAGGGAACACCGAGUGCCAGCAUCAUAUGCUGGCUGUCCAGAUGUGUAAACUACAUCUGUUAGCAAGGGCCGGGCAAGACCGGUGCCAGCCGCCGCGGUAACACCGGCGGCCCGAGUGGUGACCGUUAUUAUUGGGUCUAAAGGGUCCGUAGCCGGUUUGGUCAGUCCUCCGGGAAAUCUGAUAGCUUAACUGUUAGGCUUUCGGGGGAUACUGCCAGGCUUGGAACCGGGAGAGGUAAGAGGUACUACAGGGGUAGGAGUGAAAUCUUGUAAUCCCUGUGAGACCAUCUGUGGCGAAGGCGUCUUACCAGAACGGGUUCGACGGUGAGGGACGAAAGCUGGGGGCACGAACCGGAUUAGAUACCCGGGUAGUCCCAGCCGUAAACUAUGCUCGCUAGGUGUCAGGCAUGGCGCGACCGUGUCUGGUGCCGCAGGGAAGCCGUGAAGCGAGCCACCUGGGAAGUACGGCCGCAAGGCUGAAACUUAAAGGAAUUGGCGGGGGAGCACAACAACGGGUGGAGCCUGCGGUUUAAUUGGACUCAACGCCGGACAACUCACCGGGAACGACAGCAAUAUGUAGGCCAGGCUGAAGACCUUGCCUGAAUCGCUGAGAGGAGGUGCAUGGCCGUCGCCAGUUCGUACUGUGAAGCAUCCUGUUAAGUCAG
rnacentral:rRNA from 1 species